UUGAGAGCCCUAAAGACUGAAGUCCUGUUUUUAUUCACAGAAUUAGUAGAGCACAGGUAGCAACAGCACAAGCUUCCCUACAAGCCCUGAAAAUGGGCCUCAGCUCUGACCUGGAAGUUAUCCAUGUCUAGGUCAGUCAGUCCUCAUGCCUAUUCAGUCACAAAACCUGU
ensembl:misc_RNA